UACAGAGGGUGCAAGCGUUGUUCGGAAUUACUGGGCGCAAAGCGUGCGUAGUCGGUAUUGAGAGUCGCGGGUGAAAUCCCCAAGCUUAACUUGGGAACUGCCUGCGAGACCUCAGUACUAGAGUGUGAGAGGGGAUAGUGGAAUACCCAGUGUAGCGGUGAAAUGUGUAGAGAUUGGGUGGAACACCGGUGGCGAAGGCGGCUAUCUGGCUCACAACUGACGAUCAGGCACGAAAGCGUGGGGAGCAAACAGG
rnacentral:rRNA from 1 species